UACGGAGGGUGCGAGCGUUAAUCGGAAUUACUGGGCGUAAAGCGCACGUAGGCGGUUUGGUAAGUCGGAUGUGAAAGCCCUGGGCUUAACCUGGGAACUGCAUUUGAUACUGCCCGGCUAGAGUAUGGGAGAGGGAAGCGGAAUUUCCGGUGUAGCGGUGAAAUGCGUAGAUAUCGGAAGGAACACCAAUGGCGAAGGCAGCUUUCUGGCCCAAUACUGACGCUCAGGUGCGAAAGCGUGGGGAUCAAACAGG
rnacentral:rRNA from 1 species